AUUGAACGCUGGCGGCAGGCCUAACACAUGCAAGUCGAGCGGAGCGGCGGACGGGUAAGUAAUACCUAGGAAUCUGCCUGGGCGUGGGGGAUAACGUCCGGAAACGGGCGCUAAUACCGCAUACUCUCGGAUGAGCCUAGGUGGGAUUGGCUAGUUGGUGGGGUAAAGGCCUACCAAGGCCACGAUCCGUAACUGGUCUGAGAGGAGGAGCAGCCACACGGGAACUGAGACACGGUCCAGACUCCUACGGGAGGCAGCAGUGGGGAAUAUUGGACAAUGGGCGCAAGCCUGAUGCAGCCAUGCCGCGUGUAUGAAGAAGGCCUUAGGGUUGUAAAGUACUUUCAGCGGGGAGGCGUUACCCGCAGAAGAAGCACCGGCUAACUCCGUGCCAGCAGCCGCGGUAAUUC
rnacentral:rRNA from 1 species